CUGGUGUGCAACAGAGGAAAAGCUGUUGGUGGCAAGCUCCCAGAGACCUGGUCAAGAAAGGACAAAAGGGUAGUGAGAGGCUGAGCAGGGCCUGGGAAGCACCCCUGCUACAUCUGGAAGAGUCUUUUUAGUGAAUAUCCUGCAGAAUCCUGGCACUGCCAGCAAUGUUUCUGCAUGCCACAAAGAGAGGAGCCCCAGUACUCCAAGCAACCGGAGUCCCCAGAAUAAGCAUGAUUGCGUGCAGCAAAACUUCCUGUGGUGAAUGAGGAGGACCUCCUUUUGCUGACCUCAGAUUGCAUCCAAACUCCUUUGCAAGUAUCCACACAAAAAGGCUUUUCUUUCAUCCUUUCCACUGGACUUCAGGUAGGAAAUGGAUUACACAUUCUGUUGGUCUAGAUGAUGAAAGGAUGCAAUGUCCACCUGAGUGACUCAUGGCACAGAAAUGGUGGGGACAUAAGCAAGGUCAGCUUCUGCACAGCUUCUGUCUAAGCAAAUUCAGGUGCUAUUUACUACUGUCCAAACAAUUUAGUGUUUCUCUUGGGUUGCAGUGUUAUUAUCAUUAGGAGUUUGGUCACGCAGAAUUGGGCCUCUUUAAUUUUUGAUGCUUAAAUAUUCUUCCUAUUGAAAAGGUAAAAGGUAGCUGAGCUCUCUUGGGAAAAUCUUGCUCCAGUGUGAGCUAAACAAACUUAUGUGGUUAUAGGAACUCUGUAUCAUUACUUUCAUGUGCUUUGAAAGGUGGUUUCCUCUCUAUGGGCUUCAUGACCAAAGCUGUGCUUUAUGAGUGUGCCAAGGCUGCACUGCUGUGCAGGUAAAAAGGGCAUACUUGAGAAGUAUUCUCUGAUCAAAAUAGGGUGAUCUGGUGAUAGACCU